CUGAUCUUCAAGUUCUCUACACACUAAUGCAAGGGAACACCCCUGCCAUCCAAGCUGGUGAUGCCUGAGGGAGAAAGUUUCCAGGACAGGCCAAAGGCAGCAGUGGCAGAGGAGGAGGAAGCCAAGGAUGGAGCAGCAGAAGAGAGACCCCACGGGGAUGGAGGACAAGGAAGGAUAGAUGGGCUUCAGGCCCACAGCAGGAAUCCCUGGGAAGCUUCCAGCAAUGAUGUCUUACUGAAUUGAGAGGACAGCCCUAUGUAAAUGUGCAUGUACAUUCCUGCAGGGAUGUGCACAGCACUGAUCCAGCGUGGUGUGAAGAGAGUGUUGUCUGCACAACCAGAAGCUCACCAGGAUGUUGGCACAUAUUGGAAAAGCUUUUUAACGGUCUUACCCAUUAAUACAUAUUAUACUCAUUUGCUCACAUUCAUACACUGAUUUAAUUACAUGCUAAUUUCUCCAUGUUUAGUAUUGCAAAGGGCUGUGAGGUAGAUAAGCUGGGACUAUGUCAUUUUUAACUAGAGAGAAAAAGGAUUUUCCAUUAGCCAGAGAGAGAGAGAGAGUGAGAUACCUCCAUACUCUAG
rnacentral:lncRNA from 1 species